UAUCGGAUAGCUUACACUAAAGCGCAGCACUGAAGCUGCUGAGAAAGAAUUACUCUUCCGCUAA
rnacentral:tRNA from 1 species